rnacentral:rRNA from 1 species
AUUGAACGCUGGCGGCAGGCCUAACACAUGCAAGUCGAGCGGAUGAAGAGAGCUUGCUCUCUGAUUUAGCGGCGGACGGGUGAGUAAUGCCUAGGAAUCUGCCUGGUAGUGGGGGAUAACGUUCCGAAAGGAACGCUAAUACCGCAUACGUCCUACGGGAGAAAGCAGGGGACCUUGGGGCCUUGCGCUAUCAGAUGAGCCUAGGUCGGAUUAGCUAGUUGGUGAGGUAAUGGCUCACCAAGGCGACGAUCCGUAACUGGUCUGAGAGGAUGGUCAGUAACCCGGGAACUGAGACACGGUCCAGACUCCUACGGGAGGCAGCAGUGGGGAAUAUUGGAAAAGGGGCGAACGCCUGAUCCAGCCAUGCCGCGUGUGUGAAGAAGGUCUUCGGAUUGUAAAGCACUUUAAGUUGGUAGGAAGGGCAGUAAGUUAAUACCUUGCUGUUUUGACGUUACCGACAGAAUAAGCACCGGCUAACUCUGUGCCAGCCGCCGCCGUAACAC